CCCUGACCCAGUCACCUCUUGUUUGGCAUUCCUGUGGCCUCCUGGGGAAUGAACCUGAUGACACAAAUUUCCCAAUGCCAUUUUCGUCUGCUCUGGGCAACACUUGGGAUUUGGGCUCUUGCCAGCUGCUAAUUACACGAGAAAACAGAGGGGCCUGAUGGAAGACCAGCCUCUGACAUAUACGGGCUGUGUGACUCUGGGGAAAAGAUGGCGCAGCUUCCAAAAUAAUAACUCGGGGGCAAGAUGGUUGGAAGUAUGAGAGGAGCCUGCAAGUGACCCCAGGGGCAUCAGAAAGACUCAUUACUGACCGCGACUACGUGUUGAGGACAAGAGACAACAGACGGAUGGCUGCAGUGUCAGCCUGGGACUGACCCCAAGAUACGGAAAAGGUCAAAGGAAGGCCCUGAUGGGAAGACGAGGACGAGAAUCACACUGAACAGCAGGGCAGGGAGGAAAGACCCACACCAGAGAGAUCAUGGCUCCACUAAAGCUCUAAUACUCUGGAAGACCUCCGUUGCGCAAUUUAAUUUAUCCAGUUUUAAACUUAAGUUCCCUAGGGUUUAGCUUGCCUCCCUCCCUGCACCCCAUGGCAGAGGGCUCCCUUGGGCCCUCAAAGAGGAUGGCUUCUUCCCAUCCCACAAUCUCCCUCAUUCACCCUCACCCCAAAGUGGGCUCUAGAGGAUUUCAAGCUAAAAGAGACAUGAUAAAUCAUCCAAUUAAAACCCUUUCCUUUUACUGAGAAGCAAACUGAGGUUAGAAGUCACUGAGAUGGUAAGGAACAAGCCAGGAUUCGAAGGCCAGGGUCCCCCUCUGAGGAUGAAGGUGCAGGGGGCUCACUGACCACCCCCAAAGGGAUGCUCCAUGCAUUAAAAAGGACCACCAUCAGCACUGCUGAUCCAUGCCCCAGAGAAAGGCCUUUUCUGAGGCAUUAGGGUCUUCCCCAGACCUCAGUCCCUGCCCCUCAGAAAGCUUACAGCAUGUAGACAAGGAAAACGUAACCUGAAGAGGGAGAGGGAAUUCCCAGCUGGGGGAGAUGAGAGAAGCCUUCCCAGACAUGGCUAGGAGGGAGACGGAAGCCGAGGACUCUGAGGGGCUGGAGAUGUGGUCAGCACGAUGCAGGCUCAGCAGCACAUUCAGGUAUGUGGGGCUUGGGGGGCAUCUUGGAAUCCAGAAGUAUCAAAUGAAUGGAACGUGUCUGCAGGGCCCAGGCCCCUUUAUGAGCAGAGGAGUGGCACGGGCAGAUCUGUACCUUUAAAGAAAAUGAUUUUUGCAGCUGUGUGAAGAAUGAAUAAGAGCCCAUUGCGGUGAAGCAGGGAAGAGGUGAUGAGGGCCUGAUCUAGCAGGGCGCUCACAUGAGGAGAGAGAAGUGGAUCGAUAUGAGGCGUUGCGGAGGUAGAAUCAAUAAGACUCAUGGACUAACUGGAUGGGGGGCCUUGAGGUAGAGGGAAGAGUCGCAGAUGACUCUUGGGGUCACAAAUGUGGGUGGCUAGAAAGAUGAUGGGACAGUGGGCCUAAGGGGAAGAAAAUGAGUUGUUCUUCGGACGUGUCAGAACUCAAAGAGACUUGUGGGAUUACACAGGCUACCGCCCUAGAGAGCCUGCAGUCCCGCCCUGAGGGGAGAAAGCUGGGAGGUGAUCCCUGAAGCCCAGUCUGGGGCUCUUUUCCCUCCACCACAAGAGCAUCUUUGGCACAGAAAUGGAGAGAUUUCAAUAUGACCCAGAAGAGGAGUACGUAAAGAACCUGGCAACGGGCUCCAAAGCAGAAGGAGAGAUUCCGUGAGAACCUCUGAGGCAGGGGGAUGCGGAUCACAUCAGGAGAGGGGCUGCCCCGGAGGAAAGGUGGAGACUCCUUUCUUCACUUGACCAUCCCCACUGCCCGCUUUUGUUGGGAAGCAGCUGGGUGAGAGUUAACGGAGAUCACACAGUGCUAAGUGUGUAGGAUUCUUCUAGACCAAACCGGGCCUGCUUACUGGAGAGGAAUGAGGAAAGAAGGACCCCGAAGGAACCCCAGGGUCGAAUGACAAAGCUGGCUGCCACUGAAGGACACACGUGGCUUGUCAUCUGUCCCCCACUCACAAGAGAAGAAGGGCAGCAGGGGCUUUACGGCUCUGACUUCUCCCAAGAAACAGUCUAAUAAGCCAAAGAGAAAUCACGGCAGCACAGAUUGACACCUGGAAGGGACAGAUGAGGUCAUCCUGACACCCACAGCCCAUUUUACAGAUACGGGAACUGAGGCCCAGUGAGGAAGCAGCUGGCCUGAGGCUAGACAGGCAGUGAGCCACAGAGCUGGGUCAGGAAGCUCGAUUCUUUCACUCCAUGCACGGCAGAUUCAUUCCUUAUUGUCUCAGACUUAGUGCUCUGCCGGGGAGACACCCCGCCAUCCACUCUCGCACUUGAGUCUAGCCCUGGAGGGACAGCGGUGCCUUUCUAGGAGCACGUUCUCUGCGCCACUGUCAGAGUGAAUGAGUGCUGGCUAGCGGGGGUGGCAGGCCUGUCUCACGCUCUGAAUCCUGCAGAAAAUGAACACCAGCAGCAAGGGACCAGAUCACUUUAAAAUAACUGCAUCCUUUAAUGGCAGUAAUACAAUUAUUGGAGAUGAAGGGACCACAGGAGAAAGGCGCGAAUGACAUUUCCUGGAAGACAGAUGUGGGGUACAAAAAGGGGAGUGGGGUAGGCGGACUGAAGGAGAGCCAUGCGACCAUAAUUGUAAAAAUACAGUGCGGUAUAUACAUAUUUGCAUCAUCAAUGUCAACUCUGAAAUAUUAUUUACACUUUUAUUACAAUCUUGGUUAGAGAACGAUUUUCCUUAAAAGCUCUAGUCUGAUGGGAAAAA